rnacentral:rRNA from 1 species
UACAGAGGUCUCGAGCGUUGUUCGGAUUCAUUGGGCGUAAAGGGCGCGUAGGCGGCGGGGUAAGUCUGGUGUGAAAUCUCGGAGCUCAACUCCGAAAUUGCACUGGAUACUGCUCUGCUAGAGGGCUGGAGAGGAGAUCGGAAUUCCAGGUGUAGCGGUGAAAUGCGUAGAUAUCUGGAGGAACACCGGUGGCGAAGGCGGCAUCCUGGACCAAUUCUGACGCUGAGUGAGCGAAAGCCAGGGGAGGCAAACGGG